UUUUGUAAACCGCUGUUUUUUACCACUUUCUAAAUCGUUGUUGGAGAGUUUUCUCUAGUAAAUAGCUGUUUUGUUUAGUUUAAGAGGUUUCUCUUUCUAAAUCACGCUGUUUUUUUUCAGUAUGGAGAGUUUCCCAGUUACGAGUAUGCUCCAGAUUCUAUCAUACCAUUCAGAGAACUUUUCAAUGUCAAUGAUAGAUCAGCCGCCAUAAACCGUGACAAACUUUCCCAGAAAGCUUGGUAGACGGUUAACCUAACUUUUUUGGAGACCAAAAAGAAGGUUUUGGAGGAGAUGAAGCUAGAUUUGGAUAGGAAGCUUUGGGCUGACCUGGAGACUGCUAUGAAGGCCCCAUCCUUCCUAGGUUGUUGAUAUACAGACUACUCUUUUCUUCAUACAUAGCUGUCAGGCAACGACAGAGGCCUAGGUGUAUUCUUCACAAGAAGGGGCUUGUCAUAAUAGAGUCAACGGCAGCGUCAAUCUGCUAUCCAAUGGCUGUUAUUCAAUAAAGGGGCUGUUUAGCGCCUAAGUCUUAUAUCGUCCGUUGUGAAACGGUGUUUACUGAUUGUUAAGCUGGUCUUGUAAGUUAAUCAUUUGGCAGUCGCGUUAUAGGCGUUGGACCAAGUCUGGACAGGUCAGGUCAUUCAGAUCUUGAUCUCAUCUAAGGCCUAGCUAGGGAGUAGUUUAGCUGUAGUUGGCCAUCUCGUUGGUGGUCGAGGAGAUCAAACUUCUUUUGUAGCUCGGUUUAUCCCUAGAAAUACAGCUAUCUGUUCUGGCUAUUGCCUGCCUGUGCUUAUCGCUCAUUGUUCGACCCCAGUUUGGUCGCUGAUAUUGCGCUGUACUGUACUACAUGCCCCCAGUUUCGCCGCUGAUAUUGUGCUGUACUGUAGCUUAGUUUGCGGUUUAUUAGAGCUGAUUGUAUUAAUGCAUUCUGUAUUGUAGGAGACCAAAUUGUUAAGACAGGACCUGUCAGCAGAUGUUAUAAUGGCUGAAGGAUAUUAGGCUUUUGUUUCAUGCAAUCGCUCUGCUAAAGGGCUUGGAGCAUACUCUGGUAUGUUGUUAUUCGCCACAAUUGUCAUUUAGAUGUAUCCAAUUUGGUAGGUUUUUGCACAUUGCUGGUGCAUAGUUGAUUGCUUGGUGUUGGUUCAAUGUGGCUUUCAUCACAUCAUUUCUGCAAUCAGUUAAUCACCAUACUUGACUCCAUUGUCGGUGUUGCAACAUUUUGCCAAGUGACAUCAUCUGCAUUUUCCAGCCAGUAGGUUGCUUUGCCAGUAGCAGCCGAAGAAGGAUUUACUAGACUUUAGGACUAUGCAAGUAACAGCGAAAUUGAUGGGGAUUUUGUUAUUGCAACUCCUAUAGAGGAGGAGGGCCUAGGUGAAAUCACAAGAGAGGACCUUCUAAGGGUGGACAAUGAGGGGCGGUUCAUCAUCACCGAGGACAUUUUGGUACUAGAUUGUCUUGGAAGGAACACAACUAACUGCCAUGCAUUAUUUCCAUGUUUUUUGUUGCAUAGUUGAUUUCUUCUCUGUACUCCCUCUGUUUUUUUAUAAAUGUCGUAUUUCGUUUUUGGAAAACGUCGGGAAAACAUGUCAUUACUUGUCCAGUCCUCGAUCCCGCAGAGAAUUGAAUUAGCAUGCAAUUAAGCCACUGCAUGUACACGCCUCGAUCCUGCAAAGAAUUGAAUCGGCAUGCAGACUCGACGACUGGUUUGCAUCCUGAGAGGCUAAUGGACGGACGAAUUUGCAUGCGACAGAGGGAGGCUAAUGGAUGGGCUGCAUGUGAGGGAGAAACCGAUGUGCUCAUUAAUCGCAUGAGGUAGAAACCGAUGCACUCUUUAAGUCGUGGAGAGAAGAUUACACGGUGCUUAACCGCCUCCUUGGUCUGUGCGCCGGAGGGUUAUACGACAUGUAAAAAAAUACGGAGGAAGUAUGUAAUGAUAGUAUUGUGACAUUUGUGUAGUUCUUUUCAACAUAUAUGGCCCAGCUGUUGAAGGUGGUGAUAAAGAGCGGGUUCUUUUUAAGCUACUAUUUUAUAAUAUACUGCAGGUACUUCUUGUGCAUCUUUGUUAAUAAGUACUCCCUCUUUUCCAAAUUAUAGACUGUUUUCGCUUUUCUAGAACAUAAGAUUUCCUAUGUAUCUAGACAUAGCAUUUAUCUAGGUGCAUAGCAAAUGACCUAUAAUUUGGAAUUGAGGAAGUAUGGAAUAUUUCAAUAAUAUACUUUUGUUUUGGAUAUAUUUAUUGCUUUGCCUAUGGCAUGCUUCUUAUACUUGCCUACAUCAAUGUCUAUUAGAAACGAUGGGAACAUCUAUUGUCUCUUGGAAAGAGAGUCUUUGUUGUUGGUGAUUUGAAUAUUGCUCCUGCUUCAAUAGAUAGGUGUGAUGCGCCACCUGGUUUUGAGAAACAAAUGUAAGCCUUUUUACUUAUUUUCAGUAAUUUCUGCUAGGUUCCGAUGAGAAUGGCUGAGAUCCAUGAUGAGAGAACAUGGAGGACCCUUUUUCGAUGCUUGUCGAUCAAAACACCCUGAAAGGAGUAAAGAGAGGAGAGAGAAAUUAAGAGAGGCUGUGGAGCUUUAUUGGCUGGUGGAGUCAAUUGAUGGUUUGUUUUACGGCCAUGGGAUUUCAAGGGCUCACCAGACCUGGACGGCGCUCCGUCGAGGCUUUGAAUAAUAUUCAACACACUGGAAGGAGCAUAUACUUGUUUUAAUCAAAAAAUUGUGCUUAAGAAUAUAAUUAUGGUUCUAGAAUAGACCACAUUAUUAUUUCCGGUGCCUGUCUCCAUCAUUGCGAUUCUGCGGAGGAUCAUAGCAUUUUCUGUUGCCAUGUAGAAGAAUGUGAGAUAAUGAAUCGUUUCAAAAGAGGGAAUUCCAAAAAUUUGUCAAAGUGGAAAGGGGGAAGAAGUAGUAAGCUAGAAGAAUCUGCUCAUAUUCCAGUUUAUAUUUUGCUGAAAGAAAUUCCUGAACUUCCAGUUCAUAAUAUCCUACCAAGGCACCAACAGCUGCAAGAUAUCUUCCAGAGGUCCGUGUACGGCAACAGAGUAUUGGUGAGUGAAUUUUAAUGUUCUGUAAGAUUUUUAUUGUUACUAGCUUUUGCACCUUUCAGUUGAUGUACUACAACCAGGUUCUAGGUGUCUGUCGAUAAAUUAGCUGAAGUUGUUCAUGGAAUUGUUCUUGCUAGGGAAUGAUUUCCAUUCUUGCCCCCAAACCCUAGAAGGGUGGGAAAUAUAGUCAGCUAUACAUGGGCCUCAUGGGCCACUCCCACAUACACCAACAGUUCUGUUUCACAUAACUUACAUGUGAAUAUUCUUUUCAUCUUGUUCUAAUGUGCAUACAUAUCAGGAUAUGCAUAUUUCUUUUCAUCGAGCUUCUGGUUGAAGUAACUUCCCUUCAUCACUUCCAUUUAAAGGAAAUCAUAACUUGCUUGAGGACUUUGGCUUUCUUACAUAUACGUUAACUAUGUUGAUAGAAGACUGAUAUUUGCAGAUUAUCUUUCACAUUUCCUGAUGUUCAUUGUUUAUCUCUGAACUCAUGAUAUAUGUCAAAGAGACCAGAACAUUUCCUUUUUCAAAACAUAAUGCUAGCACUUUGCCUGCCUCAGUUAAGAAAAAGAACCCUGUAGCAUGUUUUACUCUGCAAUAUUAAUUGGUGUUGUAGGGCUGUUCUUUGAAUAUUAAGUUUGAGUUCAUCAUACUUUGCAAUUAUACUUGGGUGCACUUUUGCGUGAAGGAGUGCCAGUUAAAGUAUGCUGUGCAUAAUACUGACCACUUAUGUCGUCACAAUCUGCAAUGUCAUUCUUCAAUAAAGGGAAAACUUAUCAGCUGCAGGAUGAUGGAUGUUUGGUUCUGUCAGAGGAUACAGUAAAUGAUAGUGAUGACUUGGAAAAUAAAACAGAAGAAACACAUCUCCAGUAACAACCAGAAAAAUUCACCAUUUGGCACCAAGGGCGUGCCAAACAAAAGAUUAAACGCAGCUCAUUUUUUCAACCACCAAGGUCUGAGACAGUAAAUGUUAGUACCAGUACCUUAGUUACUCCAGUGGAAACAAUACAUUGUAUGAAGCAAAUAUGUGUUCCAAAUGAUGAUAGUCUGCCAGAAAGCAUGUAGUGCACAACUUCAGGCGCAGAAGAUCAGGAUAAAACAAAUGUAUCAUUCUGUUCACUUUCAACAGACAUGUGUAAUGCUGCAGCAUUAGAUUGGCAAAGAAUACAACAAAAGAUGAAGAUGACACUGACACGAUGUGACGGGCAUUGCGAACCAUGUUUAUGCUCAGAUAACAUCUUUGUAUCAUUGGUUACAUGAUGACACAUGUGAUCUAGUACAGUUCUUGUCAAGUGACUGAUGGAAUAAGCUAACAUUAUUGAUUGGCUAUUGUUAUUCUUAUGGGGAACUAAUAUA